AUUGAACGCUGGCGGCAGGCCUAACACAUGCAAGUCGAACGGUAGCACAGAGAGCUUGCUCUCGGGUGACGAGUGGCGGACGGGUGAGUAACGUCUGGGAAACUGCCCGAUGGAGGGGGAUAACUACUGGAAACGGUAGCUAAUACCGCAUAACGUCGCAAGACCAAAGUGGGGGACCUUCGGGCCUCACACCAUCGGAUGUGCCCAGAUGGGAUUAGCUAGUAGGUGGGGUAAUGGCUCACCUAGGCGACGAUCCCUAGCUGGUCUGAGAGGAUGACCAGCCACACUGGAACUGAGACACGGUCCAGACUCCUACGGGAGGCAGCAGUGGGGAAUAUUGCACAAUGGGCGCAAGCCUGAUGCGGCCAUGCCGCGUGUAUGAAGAAGGCCUUCGGGUUGUAAAGCACUUUCAGUAGGGAGGAAGAGUUGAGUGUUAAUAGUACUCAGCUUUGACGUUACCUACAGAAGAAGCACCGGCUAACUCUGUGCCAGCCGCCGCGGUAA
rnacentral:rRNA from 1 species